GUCGAAGCGGUUUGGUCAAACAGGGGCAGCCAUGGCGGACCACAGUGGCAAAAGCUGGACAAAGGAGCAGAUGGGCCAGUUUAUUAAGGUCAGCGGUGAGAAUGAGCACAUUUUUCCUGGAGCUAAAAACUCAGCCACCAUGGCUUGGAGGACAAUUCUGGAGAAGAUGUGCCAACAGGGGAAGGUCACCCCCUUGCAGGCCAAAAAAAA